UUAAGUAAGUUCACUAGAUUAACAAAGUCUACAAAGUUUUGCAUUUAAAUCCUUUGUAUCCAUAUACAUACCCAAAAUACCUAUGUACAUGCCAAACUAAGUCCCAAAAAGUUUAAACAUACUAUUUUCCAAACUUGGAGAUGCGACGAGAUGAGCCGACUACAACCACUGAUCUAGCCUGUCGGGAUCUAUCUUAUACCUACGCGUUAAAAACAAACAUGUUAAGCCAAUGAAGACUUAGUAAGUACAAGAAGAAUUUGAAUACUUUAUUUAGUAACAACUAAUAUAUUCUAAAUAAACACAAACUUAAUUCAUUUCAAACUUAAUCCCUAAGGUUCAAAAUUUAACUCACGUAGACUUACUGUGACUUACCACGACAUUAUAUCAGUACUUAACUCAUAUCUCAUAUAAUAUCCCAAUGUAGGCUAAAUUGAACACUUAGGAUAUUCAAAACAGAUACAAAGAUGCACCAAGGUGCAUUCUUGUAGCAGUGAGCAUCGUAGUACAUUCAUGUAGCAGUGAGCACUGUAGUGCUUAACAUAAUAGUAAGCGUGUUAAACUUCCUUUGUGGUAUGCCAUCUAUAUCCUAAUAGUUCUAGUAUUGUCUACAUGGGCUUUAUUUUAAUAGAUCAUAGCAAUUAUUCAUUCAAAAGAUUUAAUGUAAACUUUUCACCUUUUCUGCAAUUUAGUCCUUGAUCUCAUAAUCUCCAUGUAGCUUAUAAUUUCACAACAUUUUUUUUCAUUCAUGGCAUAAAUACUUUAACAACUAAUUCAAUAUCCAUCUGUUUGUUUCCAUUCAUAAUUUUUGUACCACAUUUUAGCUCUUUACAAUUUAGUCUUUUUUUAUUACUACAUCAUUCUCAUAAUUAAACUAACUAAUUAACUUAUUUUAAAAUUUAUAUUUAAAGGAAACAGUGUAAAAUUCUUGAAGUACUUACAGGUUUCUCCUCUUCUACACUUUGGCUACUCAUUUUCCUUUGUCUUCAAUUUGGUCAUCAAUUUUUUUCUCUUUCUUUUCAUUUUCAUAUCAAAACACAUAAUGUAUUCUUGUUAAAAUCAUAACCAAAUAACAUACUCAUACUUGAAUAAAGAAUCUAACAUAGAUUUCAUGAAGAUUUCAUCAUUUCUUACAUUGUUUUCAAGAAAUCAAAAUCUAAUCUUAUUUGUUUCUCUUUCAAGACCACUAUUGACUCUUCUUUUCUUGAAAUUAAGGUAACUAUCAAUCUUCUCUAUUGAUUUUACUACGAAAACAUGAAAGAAACUUGAAGAGUGGAAGGGUUUAGAAAUGGUGGAAGGACCUAUUUGGAAUAAAAAUGAAAGUAGAGUGGCGGCUUUUUGGAAAUUGAUGUUUAGGCUUCUGGGAGAAAGGUGAUGACUUUCAUCUUUUCUUCAUAUUUCUACAUAAUUACCGAAAUAUCUUCUAAUUUAAUAAUUAAAAAUAAAUAUUUGCAAUUUAAUCCACCAAUUAUAAUUUGACACAAUUUCAUCAUUUCAUCAUUAUGUUUCCAUAAUUAUCUUAUUCAACUAAUUACUAUUUUAUCCCUUAUCUUAUCAACAAUACCAUGCAUGAUUCAUGCUUCAUCUUGGUCAAAUUUCACUUCUAGUCCUUCCUUUAUUUCCCAAUUCCGUGUAAUCUUUUCUAAUAUUUAAUUUUCUACUUUUACCACAAUACUUUCUAUUCUUCUACAAUUUAAUCAAUAUCUCAAAUCAAUUUUCUUCAUCUAAAAAGUAUUACCUAAUUUUUGACCGACUCUAACUACUUCCUAUACCAACACCCAAAAUUUCAUAUUUAUUCCAUUUCUAAAUUCUCUAAUAUUCUUAACCUGGCAUAACACUAUGACCUACAGUCAAAUGUAGUAGCCAAUUUGGGUCAAUUCUACACUUAAGGAGCUUAUUUUCUAGGAAAUUUAGAAUUUUAUAUUUUGUUUUCAGUAAUUAGGCCUUAGGAUUAAAAGUUAAUAAAAAUAAGUGUUUUUAACACAUUUUGUAGGUUUUGUGACCCAAUAGGCCGAAAUUGGUCUUAGGUUGUGCUAAUUGGUUUAAUUGAUUGCGUAGGAUGAAGAUAUAAAGGCCCAAUUUACGUGGAAGCAAAGGUUGAGUGAUGUACAAGCGUCACGGGACGUCAAGGCAUAGAAUGAAUGACCCAAGGCAAGAAUUUGGUGUUGUGUCGCACCAUGCUAGGGGUGUGGCGUGACACGAGGCCAACAUGCUACUCAAGUAUUUUGAGGUUAUUUUUGUUUGCGUAAUCAAACUUAUACAAAGACUUGAGAUGUGUCGAAGACCUAAUUUCGGCUACUAACACCUCUAUAAAUAAGACAUUAUGGGUUGAAUGUAAAUGAGCCGUCUGAGAUGCCUUCAAAAACCCUCGUAGUUUAGAAUUAAUUUUGGUUUAUUUUUUUUGGCUUUUCAUAACUUUCUUUUUUUUUUCUCUUAAAUCAGUUUUAAUUUAAGAGUUUGUUUAUUUAAUUAAAGUGUUUAGUUUAUACUUUUAUUUGCAUUUUUUUAUUUCUUUAUUCCAAUUGAGAGAUUUGCUACUCUGUUUCCCAUUCAAUACUUAAUCUAAAAUUAUUCAAAUCUCUUUUCUUCUUUAAAUUGAUCGUGUUUUUCACAUGGUUUAUUUAAUCGAAGUUAAGAUUAUGAAUAACAUGAGUGACUAAAUCCUUUAGGGGAGAUUAACAAGUGAAUAAGGAUAUGAUUAACGGAGGAUUUGGGGUUUCCCUAGAGGGAUUAGUUGGUAUAAAUUAUGUGUUCUUAAACUAUUAGGCUUGACAAAUCUAAUAAGUUGUUAUAGGCUAGACAAGGUUGGAAGAUAAGUUGAACCGAGUAAAUCGUAAUCUAUCCUAGUUGAGAAAGUGAAGUCGGUAGGUAAGCGAAUAUCAACCAAUCAAUUAGUUAAUUAGAGGUCGGGAGUUAAUAAUUAGUUAAUCAAUUACUAAUCCAUCUCAAAACCCUAAUUUGAAGUUAGUUACAAACCCUUAAGCGAGUUAAUUUUCUUGACUGAUUUAUCUAUUUAGUUCGUUUGUUUAUUUCUCGUUAUUUAUUUCUUUUUUUAUUUGCUUAUUUUUAUUCAUUUUAAUUUAUUUUAUGGUUAAUUGUAAUAUAGGAAAUAAUUACUACUACUUAGACUUGUUAUUGUAGAAGUAUUUUCAUUAUUUAUUCCAUCCUCCCUUGGGUACGAUCCUCAGAAUACUUCUGAUAUUUCGUUGUACAACUAUAUUACAAUUUGACCCAUGCACUUGCUAACACUGUCGUUCUUAAUUCUUAUAUUUUUGGUGUUAUGUUUAUUCUAUAAAUGAUAGUGCGUUUAUAGACAGUCACACUGUACCCAGCUUCGAGGCAUAAUGUGGAUUUUAUAAAGUAUUUCAUGAAAGUACAAGUGUUAAAUCAAAAUUGUAGCUGGGAAGAGUUGGUUACCCUCUUUUGGUUCUUUAUUGUUCUUUCUUCCAAAAUCGAGGGUGAUUAAAUCUCAAAAAGAAUGAAAAAUUUCCAAAGAAAUCUCAAUUUUAUAAUGAGUCAAAUUUGUAGUUGAGAAGAGUUGGUUACCCUUUUUUAGUUCUUUAUUGUUCUUUCUUCUAAGAUUUAGGCGGGUUAAAUCUCCAAAGAGGAUGGUUAAAUCUCAAAAAAAAAAAUGAAAUGUUCCAAAGAAAUAUUAAUUUUAUAAUAAAUUAAAAUGAAAUGUUCCAAAGAAAUAUUAAUUUUAUAAUAAAUUAAACCUAUAACCUAAUUCUCAUAAAAAAAAUUUGUUGUUUUUGAUUCAAGUAGAUAUCAAAAAGUGUUUUUUCAACAUAAAAUCAAGAAAACAUAAUAAAACAAUAAUGUUAUAAAAAAAAUUCAUGCUCAACUUUUUUUUAAAUAUCUUAAUAUAGUAAACCAAAUAAUAAUAUGUCUUAAGAUUGGUCUAAUAGGAUGUGUAUAAUCGUAACAUAGUUCCAAUAAUUGAAAAUAAAUUACAAAAUAAAGUCCUAAAAUAUAUCAACAUAGCAAUUGAAAGUGUUUCUUUUUUACAUUUAUUAAUAGAUUAAUAAUAUAGAUUAAUAUAAAAUAGAAUUAAUAUUGUUUGUAUAUUUUUUUUAAUUUUUCAAUCUUUAUAAAAAAUAACUUUUUAUUAAUAGAUCAAACGCUACAUAAAAGCGAAAGACUUUAUUAAGGAUGAUCAAGCAGUUUGUUUCUUAAACAGAUGUCUUGUAUUAAAUUUGCUAGACUAAGUUCCUCUAAUAUAAGAUAAGAUAGGUAAAUUAUCUAAAUAAUAGUCAUCUAAGUUUAUCCAUUUCUUAUUUUAGUUAUCUAUUUUAAAAUUUUAUUAUUUUAAUUACUCUCGUUAGAUAAGUUAUCAAUUUUAAUCAUUCUACCGUUAAAUAUCUUUACUCAUCAAACGAAAUGCUAACAUGAUCAUUUUUAUCACAAUAGUAUUACAACUUACAUCAUGGUAACAACUCAUCAUUCAUUUCCCAUUUCAAAUGGUAUAACACACUUAGUUACCUUUGAAUAUUAACCAUUCUACAAUGAAAUCAUAAAUUGAAAACAAGUUAAGUUAGCAUAAACCGGAUAUGUUACUCAUUGUUUGUCUUUGUCUUCAAUUCACUAUCUAAGGUUUUAUUAUCCGAAAUUCUCGUAUCUUGUAAUUAUCCCGUUUGAAUCUAAUUUAGAAUUUAAAACUAUAACCUAAAGACGUCAAGCUAUCUAAAAACAUGAUUGUUAUUCAAAUCCUCUUGCUCCAUACCAAUAACUCAACAAUGGUAACUUAACAAAAUUCUAACAAUUUUCAAUUCUAAACAAUGAGUUUAAUAUAUCAAGCAACCCUAUCUAAUAAUCUAACAAAAAUAAAACGAAAAACCUUUCUCACCUUUAAAAAUGGCUCACGAUAUGGGAGAGCAUUCUAAGGAAAAUUUCUUUCCUUUUU
rnacentral:lncRNA from 1 species